rnacentral:rRNA from 1 species
GUUGUAUGGUUAAGUGACUAAGCGUACACGGUGGAUGCCUUGGCAGUCAGAGGCGAUGAAAGACGUAGUAACUUGCGAUAAGCCCAGAUUAGGUAGUAACAACCAUUUGAGUCUGGGAUUUCUGAAUGGGGAAACCCACGUGCAUAAGCACGUAUCCUUACCUGAAUACAUAGGGUAAGGAGGCGAACCGGGGGAACUGAAACAUCUAAGUACCCCGAGGAAAAGAAAUCAACCGAGAUUCCGAAAGUAGCGGCGAGCGAAAUUGGACUAGCCCUUAAGCUUUACACGCGUUAGACGAACGGUCUGGAAAGUCCGACGAUACAGGGUGAUAGUCCCGUAGUUGACGACGUGUGUUCAGUGAAAUCGAGUAGGGCGGGACACGUGAUAUCCUGUCUGAAUAUGGGGGGACCAUCCUCCAAGGCUAAAUACUACUGACUGACCGAUAGUGAACCAGUACCGUGAGGGAAAGGCGAAAAGAACCCCUGUGAGGGGAGUGAAAUAGAACCUGAAACCGUGUACGUACAAGCAGUAGGAGCAGGCUUUGUCCUGUGACUGCGUACCUUUUGUAUAAUGGGUCAGCGACUUAUAUUCAGUGGCAAGGUUAACCAUCUAGGGGAGCCGUAGGGAAACCGAGUCUUAACUGGGCGUUCAGUCUCUGGAUAUAGACCCGAAACCAGGUGAUCUAGCCAUGGGCAGGUUGAAGGUUGAGUAACAUCAACUGGAGGACCGAACCGACUAAUGUUGAAAAAUUAGCGGAUGACUUGUGGCUAGGGGUGAAAGGCCAAUCAAACCUGGAGAUAGCUGGUUCUCCCCGAAAGCUAUUUAGGUAGCGCCUCGGACGAAUACUACUGGGGGUAGAGCACUGUUAAGGCUAGGGGGUCAUCCCGACUUACCAACCCUUUGCAAACUCCGAAUACCAGUAAGUACUAUCCGGGAGACACACGGCGGGUGCUAACGUCCGUCGUGGAGAGGGAAACAACCCAGACCGCCAGCUAAGGUCCCAAAUUACUACUAAGUGGGAAACGAUGUGGGAAGGCUCAGACAGCCAGGAUGUUGGCUUAGAAGCAGCCAUCAUUUAAAGAAAGCGUAAUAGCUCACUGGUCGAGUCGGCCUGCGCGGAAGAUGUAACGGGGCUAAGUAGUAAACCGAAGCUGCGGCAAUGUGCUUUUGCACAUUGGGUAGGGGAGCGUUCUGUAAGCGGUUGAAGGUGUGUGGUAACGCAUGCUGGACGUAUCAGAAGUGCGAAUGCUGACAUGAGUAACGAUAAAGGGGGUGAAAAACCUCCUCGCCGGAAGACCAAGGGUUCCUGUCCAACGUUAAUCGGGGCAGGGUAAGUCGACCCCUAAGGCGAGGCCGAAAGGCGUAGUCGAUGGGAAACGGGUUAAUAUUCCCGUACUUCUUACAAUUGCGAUGGGGGGACGGAGAAGGCUAGGUGGGCCUGGCGACGGUUGUCCAGGUUCAAGUGCGUAGGCUUAAGAGUUAGGUAAAUCCGGCUCUUUUUAAGGCUGAGACACGACGUCGAGCUACUACGGUAGUGAAGUC